rnacentral:rRNA from 1 species
AGUGAACGCUGGCGGCGUGCCUAAUACAUGCAAGUCGAACGGAGUGGCGCACGGGUGAGUACUCUAUAGCUAAUCUGCCCCUUGCUGGAGGACCACAGUUAGAAAUGACUGCUAAUACUCCAUAGCAAGGGAUGAGACUAUAUCGUGGCAGCUAGUCGUUGGGGUAACGGCCUACCGAGGCGAUGACGAGUAACGGGUCUGAGAGGAUGUUCAGUCACAUGGGAAAGGAGACACUGUACAAACGCCUACGGGAGGCAGCAGUAGGGAAGAAUGCGCAAGGGGGGAAACCCUGACGAAGCAACGCCGCGUGGAGGAUGACACUUUUCUGAGCGUAAACUCCUUUUGUUAUGUAAGCGGUACCUAACGAAUAAGCACCGGCUAACUCCGUGCCAGCAGCCGCGGUAAUAC